CCUCAGUGUGAAGGCUCUGAGUUCAAUCCCCAGUACCACACACAGAAAAGAAGAAACAAAAAAGAAGAGAAAGACAGAGGAAACAAGGGGCAGCCUUGGACACUCAGCAGGGAUAGGAGCGCCUAUUCAGCAUCUGCACAGACAACAGUUGGCCUGAGUAACUGAAAAAGACGUGACGUGAAGAGUGCAUUUUCACGGAGAACGAAGGCAGCCCACGGGCAGGAUGAAGAGGAGGUGGGGCCAGAGGCAGCCCCAAGGGCACAGUUAUGGACACUCUCGCAAGAAGGGCAGGAAGGCAGAUUUCUGUGGCAGCUGCAUAUCAAGGACCUUGCGCUUUCGAGGCAGGCAGUGGAACCCCUGAGCUAAAUCCCCGGCCCUGGUAUUUACUUCAAAAUAAUGUCCAGAACAGCGUGAGACAGGUGAAGGUACAGAGGAAACAAGCUUGGCGGUGAGUUGGUAAGGCAACUAGUGACCAUAUGGGGGUUCAGUAGGC
rnacentral:lncRNA from 1 species